rnacentral:rRNA from 1 species
UACGAAAGGGGCUAGCGUUGUUCGGAAUUACUGGGCGUAAAGCGCACGUAGGCGGCCUUGUAAGUUGGGGGUGAAAUCCCGGUGCUCAACUCCGGAACUGCCUUCAAAACUACAAAGCUAGAGGAUGUGAGAGGAUAGUGGAAUUCCGAGUGUAGAGGUGAAAUUCGUAGAUAUUCGGAAGAACACCGGUGGCGAAGGCGACUGUCUGGCACAUUUCUGACGCUGAGGUGCGAAAGCGUGGGGAGCAAACAGG